rnacentral:rRNA from 1 species
AUGGUUGUCGCGGCGGCCGAGGGCCCGAUCCGCGCCGACGCCGUGCCGCCGGAGAGGGCCGAUGCGGCGGCGGCGGCGGCCAGGGAGGACGAGGUCGUCAGGGAGUACAAGAGCGACGUGAGGAAGCUGGAGGAGCUGUUCAAGAAGCUGAACCCGUCCGCGGAGGAGUUCGUGCCGCUCUCCCGCCGCCAGCAGGGGGGCGGCGGCGCCCGCCGCCUGUCGGCCGACGCGCCCGUCUUCGUCUCGCCCGCGAUCGACUACUACGCGCCCCACCACCCGUUCCAGCAUCAGCAGAUGCACGUGCUGCAAGUGGUCGGCGGCGCGGGCAGAGACUCCAGCAGCGACGGAUCCGCCAAUGGCCAGCCCAAUCGACGGAGAAGGAGUGGCUUCAACCAGGGGAGACGUAGGAUGGGAGUCCGGCCAAGGCGAAGUGAUAGGGAGGAUAGUGUACGGCGAACUGUCUAUGUCUCAGACAUUGAUCAACAUGUCACUGAACAGAAGCUUGCUGAGGUUUUCUCAAACUGUGGUCAAGUGGUAGAUUGCCGUAUCUGUGGUGAUCCAAACUCAGUGAUGCGUUUUGCUUUUAUCGAGUUCGCCGAUGAUGUCGGUGCGAGAGCAGCUCUAACGCUUGGUGGAACUAUUCUUGGUUUUUAUCCUGUCAGAGUUCUGCCAUCUAAGACUGCAAUUUUGCCUGUGAACCCCAAAUUUCUUCCUCGAACGGAGGAUGAGAAAGAAAUGGUAUCCAGGACUGUGUACUGUACUAACAUUGACAAAAAUGUUCCAGAAGAUGUUGUGAAGAAUUUCUUUGAGGGAAUUUGUGGGGAGGUUGCUCGACUGAGGCUCCUUGGUGAUUACGUGCAUGCCACGUGCAUUGCCUUUGUUGAGUUUGUUCAGGCAGAAGGAGCAAUUUUGGCCCUGAACUGUAGUGGCAUGCUUCUUGGCUCGCUUCCUGUCAGGCAAGCACUUGAUUUUUAUGCAUGUUUCGAAUCAUUGUUAAAUGUAAAGCUGAUUUAUGGCGAUAUACUCAACUGUUUCCUUGUUCCUGACUGUGCAGGGUGA